CGAGUUUAGAUCACUUAAGUGACGCGCAGAGGUUUACGUUUUCGUAGUGGGCGCGUCAAUAAGGUUGUGUAAGCUAGUUUUCUCAUCUACCCGUCUACUUAAUAGUAUUAUGAACUUUGCAAAUCGCGUAGGAGAUACCCGGCAAAAACGGGAUAGAUUAUAACAUUUCGAAAACGAUUAGACGUCAUUAGGACAUAUUCUGGCAAGGUAUCGCUCAGUCGACGUAUAUUUGUAGAACACCGCAAUGACAAAUGUUAAAUAUCGAGCAUGUCACUA